CGAGAUGAGUUCUCCCUGAGACUUUAAGUCUCCUGAAGGAACGUUGAAGACGACGACGUUGAUAGGCCGGGUGUGUAAGCGCAGCGAUGCGUUGAGCUAACCGGUACUAAUGAACCGUGAGGCUUAACCUUACAACGCCGAAG
rnacentral:rRNA from 4 species